ACAGUGGUGGUUCAGAGGUAGAAUUGUUGCCUUCCAUACAGAAGACCCCAGUUCGAUUCCAGGCCAAUGUA
rnacentral:tRNA from 1 species